rnacentral:rRNA from 1 species
AUGUACAUCAAGAUUGAAUCAAUAAGUGUUGUAGCCGGUGAGACACGUGCAUGCAUGACUGGAAAGCGUAUUGUGCUCCCCUCGAAAUUUAUUGGAGGACCAAGAGACAUGCGUCGAAGGUAUCUAGAUGCAAUGGCAUUGGUCCAAAGGUUUGGAAAGCCAGACUUAUUCAUUACAAUGACUUGCAACCCGCAAUGGGAAGAGAUAACUAGAGAGCUGGAACCAGGUCAAUCGCCACAAGAUCGUCCAGAUUUGGUAGCAUGGGUCUUCAAGGCAAAGUUGGAGGAUCUUAAAGAUUUUUUAUUCAAGAGGAAAUUAUUUGGUGAAGUUGUUGCACAUGUUCAUGUAAUAGAAUUUUAG